rnacentral:rRNA from 1 species
AUUGAACGCUGGCGGCAGGCCUAACACAUGCACGUCGAGCGAGCGGCGGACGGGUGAGUAAUGUAUGGGGACUGCCCGAUAGAGGGGGAUAAAUACUGGAAACGGUGGCUAAUACCGCAUACUAUCGGAUAACCCAUAUGGGAUUAGCUAUUAGGUGGGGUAAAGGCUCACCUAGGGGACGAUCUCUAGCUGGUCUGAGAGGAUGAUGAGCCACACUGGGACUAAUACACGGCCCAGAGUCCUACGGAGGGAGCAGUGGGGAAUAUUGCACAGUGGGCGAAAGCCUGAUGCAGCCAGGCCGCGUGUAGGAAAAAGGCCUUAGGGUUGUAAAGUACUUUCAGCGGGGAGGCGUUACCCGCAGAAGAAGCACCGGCUAACUCCGUGCCAGCAGCCGCGGUAAUAC